rnacentral:rRNA from 1 species
UGCGUAGGCGGAUAAAUAAGUCAGAGGUGAAAGCUCCCAGCUUAACUGGGGAACUGCCUUUGAUACUGUUUAUCUUGAAUUAUGUUGAGGUUAGCGGAAUGUGACAUGUAGCGGUGAAAUGCAUAGAUAUGUCAUAGAACACCAAUUGCGAAGGCAGCUAGCUAGGCAUAUAUUGACGCUGAGGCACGAAAGCGUAGGGAGCGAACAGGAUUAGAUACCCUGGUAGUCC